AAUAACAAUUAUUGAGCAAAAAAAUAUUGAAAAACAUUUACCCAUUUCCCCUUUACUCGUCUUCUGUAAAAAAUUUCUUUUAUCAAUCAUAAUCAAAACCCCACCAUUUCUUAUCUAAAAUCUAUGCGGCUGCUACCCACAAAACUCUCGUUCCCCAAUCUAAAGAAUCGCAACAAGAAAGAAAAUAAUAAAAAGAAUGGAGGAAGAAGUUGAAAAUACAGUAAAUGGGUUUGUGUUGAUUUUGGGAAUCCCAAUUGCAAUUCCGCAUCCAACUCGGCUAGAUCUGAAAAAACUGAAAAGUUAUGAUCUGAAGUGGUGGUCGUUUGGGGUUCAUGGAUAUGGGGUUUCGGAUCUCGAUGGAUGUUUGGGUUGGGGUUUGGAAGUGGGAUUGGUUCGGAUAUGGGGUUCUUAAAUCAGAUCUUGAAUAUGCCGGUAUUUGGAUUUGAUUUAGAUUCCAGUGGUAUACUUGUUUGUGUUGGUGAAGUCAUAUGUUUUGUGAGUGGAGCAGUCUAACAGGACCUCAAAGUGUUGCCAUGGUCUAUAUUUCUUUUCCUUUUUUGUGGGGCAACCUUUUUUCUAUGAGUGUCUGACAAACUAACUACAUAAGGUACCGACAAAUUGAUUUUGUCUCCCGCAAAGUCUGUUUAUAUCCUCAUGUACAUUCUGUUUAUGAUAGAAAGAUUUCAUUAUUUUGAUAGGCUUUCUUUAUAUUUACCGAAGUUGAAUACAUGAUUACAUGUUAUGCUAGCGACUAUCUAAUAUGUUUGACGACCGAAUUCUGGGAUUUAUGACUGUUAUUUCCCCUUUCUUUUUUUCUAAUCGACCCACCCAUUUGGAUAUGGUUUUGAAGAUGUUUGGAUCUCGGUAUUGGUAGCUUGUAUCCCAUCUGAUUUUGGUUGUUUCUUCCAUUUUUAACCUAAUCCAUGUUUAAAUUUGGUGUUUUCAUGUUCUCAUUGGUCCCGAGUUUUCAUCUUAAUGGACGGAUUUCAUGGAGGUUUGGCCGGUAUGAUCGGGCUCUGACCAGUCUCCGGUGGUUUGUUAUGAAAGCUCUUCGAAGCAGUGAGAUGUCGGGAGGGGGUGAAAACAGAGUUUGAUAAAUUUGCCCUUCAAUAUAUAAUAAAUGUGUAAUCAAAAAUUAAAAUAUUUUUUUAAUUAUAUAUCAGCUGAGUUAUGCCCCACCUAGAUAUAGUACCGGCCCUGGGCUAAAGUCCAAGGUACUCGGGUUUUAGGCUCAAAAAUUUUUAGGCCCCCUUAAAUAUUCUAUUCAUUUUAUUACUUAAAUAGAAUACUUAAAUAUUAAAGCAAAUAAUCAAUUUGUAAUAUUCUACACUGAUUAUUGUAAUAUUCUACAUAUUUAAAGCAUAUAAUUUGUACAAAAUAAC
rnacentral:lncRNA from 1 species